ACGACUACAUUAGAUACCCGGGUAGUCCCAGCUGUAAACGAUGCAGACUAGGUGUUUGGACGGCCACGUGCCGUUCUAGUGCCGCAGGGAAGCUGUUAAGUCUGCCGCCUGGGGAGUACGAUCGCAAGAUUGAAACUUAAAGGAAUUGGCGGGGGAGCACCACAAGGGGUGAAGCUUGCGGUUUAAUUGGAGUCAACGCCGGGAAAUCUCACCGGGAGCGACAGCAGUGUGAUAGCCAGAUUAAAGGUCUUGCUAGACGAGCUG
rnacentral:rRNA from 1 species